AGGGUUUGAUCCUGGCUCAGAAUCAACGCUGGCGGCGUGCCUAACACAUGCAAGUCGAACGCGAAAGGGGAGCAAUCCCUGAGUAGAGUGGCAAACGGGUGAGUAACACGUGGGUGACCUGCCUCAGAGUGGGGGAUAACGUCCCGAAAGGGACGCUAAUACCGCAUAACAUCCUGCCUUUGGAAAGGCGGAGAUCAAAGCCGGGGAUCGCAAGACCUGGCGCUUGGAGAGGGGCCCGCGUCUGAUUAGCUAGUUGGUAGGGUAAUGGCCUACCAAGGCAACGAUCAGUAUCCGGCCUGAGAGGGCGGACGGACACACUGGGACUGAGACACGGCCCAGACUCCUACGGGAGGCAGCAGUGGGGAAUUGUUCGCAAUGGGCGCAAGCCUGACGACGCAACGCCGCGUGGAGGAUGAAGAUCUUCGGGUCGUAAACUCCUGUCGAGCGGGACGAACACCUAUCCGGCUAACAUCCGGGCAGGCUGACGGUACCGCUAAAGGAAGCCCCGGCUAACUCCGUGCCAGCAGCCGCGGUAAUACGGGGGGGGCAAGCGUUGUUCGGAAUUACUGGGCGUAAAGGGCUCGUAGGCGGCCAACUAAGUCAGACGUGAAAUCCCCAGGCUCAACCUGGGAACUGCGUCUGAUACUGGAUGGCUUGAAUCCGGGAGAGGGAUGCAGAAUUCCAGGUGUAGCGGUGAAAUGCGUAGAUAUCUGGAGGAAUACCGGUGGCGAAGGCGGCAUCCUGGACCGGCAUUGACGCUGAGGAGCGAAAGCCAGGGGAGCAACCGGGAUUAGAUACCCCGGUAGUCCUGGCCCUAAACGAUGAAUGCUUGGUGUAACGGGUAUCGAUCCCUGUUGUGCCGAAGCUAACGCAUUAAGCAU
rnacentral:rRNA from 1 species